GAUGAACGCUGACAGAAUGCUUAACACAUGCAAGCCUACUUGAUUCUACUUCGGUAGUUGAUGGUGGCGGACGGGUGAGUAACGCGUAAAGAAUCUGCCCUUUAGUUUGGGAUAACCUUUGGAAACGAAGGCUAAUACCGAAUAUUAUGGAGAUGUCGCAUGACGACUUCAUGAAAGCUAUAUGCGCUAGAGGAGGACUUUGCGUCCCAUUAGUUAGUUGGUGAGGUAAUGGCUCACCAAGACCGCGAUGGGUAGCCGGCCUGAGAGGGUGAUCGGCCACAAGGGAACUGAGACACGGUCCUUACUCCUACGGGAGGCAGCAGUGGGGAAUAUUGGACAAUGGACCACAAGUCUGAUCCAGCAAUUCUGUGUGCACGAUGAAGGUCUUCGGAUUGUAAAGUGCUUUCAGUAGGGAAGAAAAAAAUGACGGUACCUACAGAAGAAGCGACGGCUAAAUAUGUGCCAGCAGCCGCCGUAA
rnacentral:rRNA from 1 species